rnacentral:rRNA from 1 species
GAUCCUAGCUCAAGAUAAACGCUAGCGGCAGGCCUAACACAUGCAAGUCGAGGGGCAUCGGAUAGAGUACUUCGGUACUCUUGCCGGCGACCGGCGGACGGGUGCGUAACGCGUAUGCAACCUACCUUCAACAGGGGGAUAAUCCGAAGAAAUUUGGUCUAAUACCCCAUAAUAUUCCGACAGGCAUCUGUCGGAGUUGAAAGCUUCGGUGGUUGGAGAUGGGCAUGCGUUGUAUUAGCUAGAUGGUG